GACGAACGCUGGCGGCGUGCUUAACACAUGCAAGUCGAACGGAAAGGCCCUGCUUUUGUUGGGUUCUCGAUUGGCGAACGUGUGAGUAACACGUGAGUAACCUGCCCUUUACUUUGUGAUAUCUUCUGUUAACUUGUUCUAAUACCUGCUAUGAUCUCCUUCUUCUUGUUGGUUGUUGGUUAUUUUCGGCGGUUGGGGAUGGACUCGCGGCUUAUCAGCUUGUUGGUGGGGUAGUGGCUUACCAAGGCUUUGACGGGUAGCCGGCAUGAGAGGGUGACCGGCGACAUGGGGACUGAGAUAAGGCGCAGACUCAAACGGGAGGAAGCAGGGGGGAAUAUUGCAAAAUGGGAGGAAGCCUGAGGAAGAAACGACGGGAGAGGGAUGAAGGGCUUCGGGUUGAAAACCGAUUUAGAAUGUGAAGAAGCGUGAGUGACGGUAAUGGGUAAAGAAGCACCGGCUAACUACGUG
rnacentral:rRNA from 1 species